GGGAAGUGGAAGCGGAGUCCGGGAAGCCAGAAAGUGCGGCGGCGCUUCGGGAGCUGCCCAAGGGGGGCAAAUACUUCGCGAGAAGCAAGUUUUAGUGGCCGUUUGGAAAACUGAAAGAAGCAAUUCAGUCUUUUGUUCUAUAGAAGCAUCAGUCUGCAGAAACAAGAGAGCAUUCAUCCACGUCAGCGCUUUGCAGUGAUAAAAACUUACCCAGAGGCCUGGAUCCAGCCUGGGCUUCUGCAGGAUGGUGAGAGACAAAUCUGAAGAGGACACAGAGGAAAAACAAAACAAAACAAAACAAAACAAAACACCUCCGAAGGAAUAAAAAGUUCUGAAUGGACAGGAUACAGUCCUGGGCAUGCAAAAAAUGGAAACAACACAAAUAUCUACCAAGCAAUAAAUGG